rnacentral:lncRNA from 1 species
CUUAAUAAUAGAGAUUUUGAAUCGAUGAUCAGAACCGUUGAAGUUCAUCUAGAGUAUUUGAAAUAUCUAGAAACUAAAUUUCAUAAAUUUUAAAAAUUAUUUACAUGGUGAUCAAAGUGUCGUAAAAUCGACAAUUUUUUACGGCCUAUAUGAGCCGUUUGCUUGUUUAACGGUGUAGAGCAAUCCAAAUUGCUUGAAUUUUUGAUAGAAAAUUUUUUAUACUAUUUAGAUAAUAUUUGAUAACUUUGAUUAUGAAUUGAGAACGUCUAACCUCUUUUUAAAAAGGUUAUUCAUUUAUGACCAUUCAUUUUUCAGACUCUUCGAUGAACUUGAUAAUGAUUUUUAAAUAUUACAAAAUUUGAUUUCUAAACAUUUCUAAUUGUGCAGAUCAAUUUCAACGGUACCGAUUAUAAAUUUAAAGCUCCGAUAAUU